rnacentral:snRNA from 1 species
UUCCGCUUAUGUAUUGAC